rnacentral:rRNA from 1 species
GGCCUUGACAUACUAAGAACUUUCCAGAGAUGGAUUGGUGCCUUCGGGAACUUAGAUACAGGUGCUGCAUGGCUGUCGUCAGCUCGUGUCGUGAGAUGUUGGGUUAAGUCCCGNAACGAGCGCAACCCUUUUUCCUAUUUGCCAGCGGGUCAUGCCGGGAACUUUAAGGAUACUGCCAGUGACAAACUGGAGGAAGGCGGGGACGACGUCAAGUCAUCAUGGCCCUUACGGCCAGGGCUACACACGUGCUACAAUGGUCGGUACAAAGGGUUGCUACCUCGCGAGAGGAUGCUAAUCUCAAAAAGCCGAUCGUAGUCCGGAUCGCAGUCUGCAACUCGACUGCGUGAAGUCGGAAUCGCUAGUAAUCGCGGAUCAGAAUGCCGCGGUGAAUACGUUCCCGGGCCUCGUACACACCGCCCGUCACACCAUGGGAGUUUGUUGCACCAGAAGUAGGUAGUCUAACCGCAAGGAGGACGCUUACCACGGUGUGGCCGAUGACUGGGGUGAAGUCGUAACAAGGUAAGCGUAGAUGA